UACAGAGGGGGCAAGCGUUGUUCGGAAUUACUGGGCGUAAAGGGCGCGUAGGCGGCCCGCUAAGUCGAACGUGAAAUCCCCCGAGCUCAACUCGGGAACUGCGUCCGAUACUGGCGGGCUUGAAUCCGGGAGAGGGAUGCGGAAUUCCAGGUGUAGCGGUGAAAUGCGUAGAUAUCUGGAGGAACACCGGUGGCGAAGGCGGCAUCCCUCGGACCGGUAUUGACGCUGAGGCGCGAAAGCUAGGGGAGCAAACGGG
rnacentral:rRNA from 1 species